GGGGGCGAAUAGCUUCGACAUGAGUCAUGCUUCGCCGCAUUCGCAUGCCAUGGAUGACCCCGGCCAUGUAAAAAAGGGUCAAAACAACAACUGCCAACUCCAACGAGAUGGCUUGGGCUCACGCUUAAGUUGGGCCUCGCUUCCCGUCCUCUUCCGCAGGGCGGGGUUAGCGUCAUAAGCGGAAUGCCGUUUGCGUUUGUGUUUUCGUGAGCGCGGACGAAAGACUAAACGGAAAUAGGGAGAUUUUUGCGCGUCUCGGGCUUAUAAAUCUUCCGAAAUCUUAUCCGAGGCUAAGCAUGUAGCGGCUGCGACGGACGGCUUAUGGACCCGGGUGCGAAUCCCGGCGCCUCCACCU
rnacentral:tmRNA from 1 species